UAAGUAUCCGUGCUGCUAACAACUUAAUAAUUUAAGUAUCCGCCCGUUAUUAAUUAAAGUAUCCACGCUGCUAUAUUAUGCAUCCGCCCGUUAAUUAAGUAUCCGUGCUGCUAACAACUUAAUAAUUUAAGUAUCCGCCCAUUAUUAAUUAAAGUAUCCGCGCUGCUAUAUUAAGUAUCCACACUGCUAUAUUAUGUAUCCGAAAAACACUAAAAAAAGGGAUUUUUA
rnacentral:lncRNA from 1 species